UUGAUGGGGUAAGGCUCCCAGUAGACGACUGGGUUGAUAGGCCAGAUAUGGAAGCGCCGUAAGGUGUGGAGUUGACUGGUACUAAUAGGCCGAGGGCUUGUCCUCAGUUG
rnacentral:rRNA from 1 species